GCUGAAUUUGAUGAGAUGCACAUAUCUCGUAUGACUAUUUGGUACUUACAGUGUUAGACUUUGUCGUAACGUAAAUCAAAUUUACGCUGUAUUAUUCAUUACCAAGGAUUUAGAAAGGAACGAGAACAAUUAUUUACAAAAUCUCGCUGGGAUAAAUUCCGUGAAUGUGCCCAUGAAUGGCUAAAACUUGAUGGGCGAGCGAAAUGGAUAGCUGAACAGGCGACUUCGGGUGAUAUAAUCAAACAAGGAAUUUAUCGACGCGCCAAAAGAUACUGGAUUUCACCCAACAUGCUACAGGCCUUUUACAGACAAAUUCCGAAUUGGGUCUGCCCGUAAUCGUAUAGAUAAAGAAAAAUUAAAAUCCCCGGCUACAAUCCAACCAGGGAAUAGCGGGAGUGUAGACGAUCUGGGACCUAGCUCUCCAAACAAAUUACGCUCCUGAAGCAAAAAGAAAGAGUAAAUCGGUGCUGCCUGUUGUGUGUAUUAUAUGUAAAAAACGUGACAGAUUUGUCACUGUUGGAGAAAAUAGGAAGAAGGAUGUAUUAACACAGACUCAGACCCAAACAGGCUCAGGCCAACUGUUGAAAGCUGCUGAAUUGAAAGAGGAUGAAGAUAUUUUAAGGCAUAUCAGAGGGCAAGAUUGUGUGGCCAUUGAGGUCAGAUAUCACCAAAAAUGUUAUAGGCAAUAUACAUGUACUGAAUUUCUUAGACAGUUAUCAGAAAGCAAAGAUGACUAGCCCUCCGUCGAAUAUUAAACCACAUACAAUAUAUUCUGUGAAGAUGUCAUAAGAGAAAGAAUCAUAAAUGGCCAGCAAAGUUGUCUUGUACAGAGAGAGAGAGAGAGAGAGAAAUGGGGUUUAACGUCCACUCAACACAAACUAGGUCAUUUUGGGACUAACAUACGGUUUCAAUUUUAUUUCAAUAAUUCGCUUGCGCGUAUGGGUCUUUAGCAGUGAGAGGAAACCGGAGUGCCCGGAGGAAACCCACGAGGUUGAGAAGACGCCUCUAUCUCCAUGCCACAUACGCUCACACCUGGGAUCAAAGCCACAGCCACA